rnacentral:rRNA from 1 species
CCUACGGGUGGCAGCAGUGGGGAAUAUUGGACAAUGGGCGAAAGCCUGAUCCAGCCAUGCCGCGUGUGUGAAGAAGGCCUUCGGGUUGUAAAGCACUUUCAGUGGGGAAGAAAGCCUUGGGGCUAAUACCCUCGAGGAAGGACAUCACCCACAGAAGAAGCACCGGCUAACUCCGUGCCAGCAGCCGCGGUAAUACGGAGGGUGCGAGCGUUAAUCGGAAUUACUGGGCGUAAAGCGCGCGUAGGCGGUCUGAUAAGCCGGUUGUGAAAGCCCCGGGCUCAACCUGGGAACGGCAUCCGGAACUGUCAGGCUAGAGUGCAGGAGAGGAAGGUAGAAUUCCCGGUGUAGCGGUGAAAUGCGUAGAGAUCGGGAGGAAUACCAGUGGCGAAGGCGGCCUUCUGGACUGACACUGACGCUGAGGUGCGAAAGCGUGGGUAGCAAACAGGAUUAGAUACCCCGUAGU